AUGGUUUGGAUCUCCUUAAGAAAGGCAUUGUUUGGAGGAUUGGUGAAGGUGAUAAAGUCAGAGUGUGGAGAGAUAAUUGGAUCCCAAGGGGGAAAUUUAAAAAUCACUGGGAAAAAAUCUCGUACUAGGAUAAAGUGGGUCUCCGAACUGAUCGAUCCAGUGACAAGGACAUGGAAUGAGGAACUGAUUAGGAAAAUAUUACUACCUCAUGAUGUUGACGAAGUGCUAAAAAUUCGCCUUCCACAGCCUACCUCUGAGGAUUUUAUAGCAUGGCACUUUGAACGCUCAGGUGUUUUUUCGGUUCGCAGUGCGUACAGGCUAGUCGUUAAUGACAAGGAGGCGAAUCGAGAUCUGGGACAAAGCAGUACGGCGCCAACUGGAGAAAGAAAGAUUUGGAGCGUGCUUUGGAAAGCAAAUGUCCCUCCCAAGAUUAGAAAUUUUGGGUGGCGUUUGGCGACAGAGUCACUCGGAGUUCAGACAAGUAGACAUAAGAGAGGGUUGGAGCUAUUCCGUACAUGCUCUAUUUGUGGGAUGGAACCAGAAGAUGGAUAUCACGCAGUCAUGAGAUGCACAAAAGCUAAAGCCCUGCGUGACACCAUGCGUGAGGUCUGGAACCUUCCCCGGGACACUGAUCUCACAUGUACGGGGCGUGAGUGGGUCCUUCUAACUCUUGAUAAGGCGAAUGAGGAGGAGCGUACACACCUCCUCUUCAUCUGGUGGCGAGCGUGGCACCUUAGAAAUAACAUUAUAUUUGGUGACGGGAAAGAUACAAUAAAGGCAUCAACAGAUUUCCUACAAAGUUAUGCUAGCUCCUUUGCGGCGAUUAGAGCGGGACAGUCGCUUCCUGACUUUAAAAGAAAAGGAGAAGUGAUGCCAGGCAUUUUACCCCGUGAGACUAAACAGAAAGAUGCAGAUUAUAAAUGGGUCAGACCUAACUCAGGUUGGCUCAAACUGAAUGUUGAUGCAAGCUUUAUUCAGGAAACAAACCAUGGAGCUUGGGGGGCGGUUCUACGAGAUACAAAUGGGGCGGUGAUUGGAUCUGCUUGGAACACAAUCCGUAACUGCGCUAGUGCUGAAGCGGCCGAAGCUGAAGCUUGUCUUGAAGGAAUCCGAGAUACCAUGCAGUUCAUAGACCGGCCAGUAGUUAUUGAGAGCGACUGUGCGAAUGUCAUCCAAUAA
rnacentral:rRNA from 1 species